rfam:Populus trichocarpa scaffold_15_contig_39, whole genome shotgun sequence.
UCUAGAACUCGAGAUAUGAGCUGAACACUUAACAAUGUCUGGGCUGGAGGACAGAUUCCGACUUCUCCGUUGUUGCUAAAAUUUGGACUUCCAAACAGCAGAAUUGAGUCUUGGACUCCUCAUGAAUGUUUUAGGCCUAUGUCUUAGCUUUCUAGU